AGGACCAUGUGAUUGAUUACACGG
rnacentral:siRNA from 1 species